CGAUGCAGACAAGAUUACUUCUAUUAAUGAGUGGGACAUUAGUUAUCCUAAAGAUAUUGUAUUAUGACAUAUAAGUCAAGAACCCAUAUAUUUUUCAACUAUUAUAAUUAAGAAUAUUAGAUAUAUGAAGCAAGAUGCUUGACGAAGGAGAGGAGAUCGUAAAAACGGCAGAGGAAGCUGAUGCUGCUUACGAAUUUAUUACAAAUCUUGCGAAUAAUCUGAAACCCAAGUUGGUGAGAGAGGAAGCUAAUUAUCUAGUGUAUGAAAGCAACAUGUUGCUAUUGUUAGAGCAUUGCUAUGGCAACAAUCGACUUCAAUAUUGAAUUUUAAUAAACGAGCGCAUUGGAUCGUGAAAACAGAAGAGUGGUUCAAGAAACAGUUGAAAAUUCUAACCAAGGAAGGAACAUCGUUAGCUAUUGUUCAUGUGUGCAUUAUGUGAUUGGGAAUACUUAGGAAGAGGAAAAA